AGAGUUUGAUCCUGGCUCAGGACGAACGCUGGCGGCGUGCUUAACACAUGCAAGUCGAACGGUAAGGGUGCUUUCGGGUGCCCCUAGAGUGGCGAACGGGUGAGUAACACGUGAGUAAUCUGCCCUUGACUCUGGGAUAACAGUUGGAAACAGUUGCUAAUACCGGAUAUGACCUGGGGACGCAUGUUCCUGGGUGGAAAGUUCUGGCGGUCAGGGAUGAGCUCGCGGCCUAUCAGCUUGUUGGUGGGGUAGUGGCCUACCAAGGCGUCGACGGGUAGCCGGCCUGAGAGGGCGACCGGCCACACUGGGACUGAGAUACAGACUCCUACGGGAGGCAGCAGUGGGGAAUAUUGCACAAUGGGCGAAAGCCUGAUGCAGCAACGCCGCGUGCGGGAUGACGGCCUUCGGGUUGUAAACCGCUUUCAGCAGGGACGAAGCUAACGUGACGGUACCUGCAGAAGAAGCACCGGCUAACUACGUGCCAGCAGCCGCGGUGAUACGUAGGCGUUGUCCGGAAUUAUUGGGCGUAAAGAGCUCGUAGGCGGUCUGUUGCGUCGAAAGUGAAAACUCAGGGCUUAACCCUGAGCCUGCUUUCGAUACGGGCAGACUGGAGGAAGGUAGGGGAGAAUGGAAUUCCUGGUGGAGCGGUGGAAUGCGCAGAUAUCAGGAGGAACACCAAUGGCGAAGGCAGUUCUCUGGACCUUUCCUGACGCUGAGGAGCGAAAGCGUGGGGAGCAAACAGGCUUAGAUACCCUGGUAGUCCACGCUGUAAACGGGGGACCAUUCCACGGUCUCUGUGCCGUAGCUAACGCAUUAAGUACCCCGCCUGGGGAGUACGGCCGCAAGGCUAAAACUCAAAGGAAUUGACGGGGCCCCGCACAAGCGGCGGAGCAUGCGGAUUAAUUCGAUGCAACGCGACUUACCUGGGUUUGACAUGGACUGGAAGCGUUCAGAGAUGGGCGUGCCUUUUUGGCUGGUUCACAGGUGGUGCAUGGCUGUCGUCAGCUCGUGUCGUGAGAUGUUGGGUUAAGUCCCGCAACGAGCGCAACCCUCGUCCUAUGUUGCCAGCGGUUCGGCCGGACUCAUAGGAGACUGCCGGGGUCAACUCGGAGGAAGGUGGGGAUGACGUCAAGUCAUCAUGCCCCUUAUGUCCAGGGCUUCACGCAUGCUACAAUGGCCGGUACAAAGGGCUGCAAUCCAGCAAUGGUGAGCGAAUCCCAAAAAGCCGGUCUCAGUUCGGAUUGGGGUCUGCAACUCGACCCCAUGAAGUCGGAGUCGCUAGUAAUCGCAGAUCAGCAACGCUGCGGUGAAUACGUUCCCGGGGCUUGUACACACCGCCCGUCAAGUCAUGAAAGUCGGUAACACCCGAAGCCGGUGGCCUAACCCUUUUUGGGAGGGAGCUGUCGAAGGUGGGACCGGUAAUUAGGACUAAGUCGUAACAAGGUAGCCGUACCGGAAGGUGCGGCUG
rnacentral:rRNA from 1 species